UCAUAUAUGUAUAUAUAACGACAGUUCCGCCACCACUCUCACUCUCACUCUCGCUCUCGCUCUCAGCUCAAAACUCCACCGAAUCUCCAUUUAAUCUUCAUGUGAAUCAGGGUUCGUGGCGGAUGGAGAAUUCCUCUCCGAAUUAAACGAGCUGCUCACGCGGAGGAUGGCUACUCCGGCGCCGAUGAGGGUUACCCGCAUUUUAAAACGUUCAGUAUAUUUUUUUUAAUUUAUGCAUCGAUUUAUUUUAAAUUUUGAAUCAUGACUCGAUUUACAUUUUUUUUCUUACAUUUUCAAUUGCUGAUUGAUUAUUUUCUUCAAGCGAACUCGAGUGUUUUCUUCAUGUUUUCAUCAAUAAAUGCUUUUGAUUUGGAAAUAGAUUGUCAUAUAUAGGAAAUUCAUUUGCAUUGGUUACUAAACAUAUCUCUAUAGUUGAUAGAGGUGAGCUACGAAAUAGUUAUCUAAAAUGCAAGUAUAAUUUCCGGCCAUAAUUUGAAAUUACUUGAUAUAGCAUUGGCCAUGCUUUAUUCUUUCUCCAAAUUGAUUUGGAGAAGAGACGAUUGCUGAUGCUUACAUCAAUCUGGAGUUAGGUUGGCCUCUUUACUUGUACUUGUGUACCGGGGUUUUCUAAAUACUCCCACAGACCUGCUUUAAGCUCUCAAUUCAAUAUUUACUUUAUAAAAUACUGUUUCUCUUUAUUUGGCUAAGCAUUGAUUUUAUCCUUCCCUUCGACAAUCAACAGAUGAUUUGAAGAGGUUUUCAUCAAUGCUUUAUAGUAAAUUGGAUCUAGUCUGGCUCCCUUGGUUAUUAUAUUAUUGGAGUUUAGUAUAAGCUCCAACAUGAGUGUGAAAAAUAGUUUACCCUUGUUUACCACCUCUUUAUUGUUUGGUAUAAUUUGAUGUGCUUGUGUCUGUUUCAUUUCUUGUCAGUUUUCAUCUGGAUUGACUAUAGAGGUGGACUGCAUAUACAUUUUCCAGCCCCUAUUUUGAAAUUAUAUGAUACAUAGCAUUGGCCAUGCUUCAUUCUUUCUCCAAAUUUACUUGGAGAAGAGAUAAUUGCUAAUGCUUACAUCAAUCCGGAGUUAGGUUGGCCUCUUUACUUGUACUUGUGUACUGGGGUUUUCUAAAUACUCCCACAGACUUCAUUUCAAGUUCAAUUUAUAACCUUAUCCUAAUUCUUCAGAAAUACUAAUGUUUUUCCUUUUUGUUUUGCCUAAGCAUUGAGUUUAGUCUCCCCUUCGACAAUUGAUGUGUUGAAGAGGUUUUCAUCAAUGCUUUAUACUUAAUUGGAUCUAGUCUGGCUCCCUUGAUUGUUAUAUUAUUGGAGUUUAGUAUAAGCUCCUACAUCAAUAUGAAAGAUAAGUUGUAAUUGUUGGUCUCUUCUUUGUUGUUGGGUUUUGUUUAAUGUGCUUGUUUGCAUUUCCUGUCAGUUUCAUGGAUGAUUUUAGGUGAAUUUGGAUUUUAUUUGACCAGCAUUGAUACUAAUAAUCUCCUUCCCACUGUUUGGGUUGAAAGAGGCUUAACUUCAAAUGCUCAUAGAAACUAUUUUGGAGUUUGUCAGGCUUCAUGGGCUCCUUUAUGUCUAUGGAGUUUGGAAUAUUCUCCUACAUCUUGCAUUCUGAUGCUUUCAUACUGCUAUAAGUGCUAAGCACCCCAUUUUGUAUUAAACUGAAUUAUUUAGGAUUUCAAAUGUUCAUCCACCUAUAGAAACUUAUUUCUAUAUGUUGGUUUUAUGUUUGAAAAGGUUGCUUUUACCUUAUCAUAUUAUGUCUCGUACUCACCCUGCCAGCUCAACCAUGUAUUGAUCCUGUUCUGAGCCUGCUAUGUGUGCUUCGUUUUGUCACGGAGAAUGGCACAAAAGGGGUGCGAGGUGAUUGUUUGUCCUAGACAUGGUUAAAAUCAUGCUCGACUGGGUACUGAAGGGCCCCGUGAUGCCUCUAACUGAUGUUGUGACUCUCUGUCCACCCAAGGAAGAUAAAUUAUACAGAGCUCCAGCGGCAAGCUGCAGUAGCUGCUGCACCAGAUGCAGAGGUUGUAUUAGCAUGACCAAUGUUUGUAGAUAGGUUGUAAAAUCUCGAGCCUCCACUUGUACUAGAUUUACUCUGUUUGAGUCCAAAUCUUUUAUCUUAA